UCGAGUCCCUGAAUGGGUCGCCCCGAGAUAGGGAUGGUGGCUCCGUAGAGCAGUGCGGUUCUUGCGCUGUUCGGUGCGCUCGCGUCGGCCCUUGAAAAUCCGAGUGAGGGAGUGUGAUUUUCGUGCCGGACCGUACCCACAUCCGCAGCAGGUCUCCAAGGUGAACAGCCUCUAGUCGAUGGACCAAUGUAGGUAAGGGAAGUCGGCAAAACGGAUCCGUAACCUUGGGAUAAGGAUUGGCUCUGAGGACUGAGCCGGUCGGGCUGGGGACCUGAAGCAGGAACGGCACUGCACCGGGACUGGGCGGGGCUCGCCGUUCACGCGGCGCGGCCAAGCCCGGACCAGCGUCGGGACCUUCCUGUGGAAAGCCUCAGCUGCGCGGCGUCUGAGGGCUUCGUGCCCAAAGUGCUAUGCUUCGGCCGGCAAAAAACAGUCAACUCAGAACUGGCACGGACCGGGGGAAUCCGACUGUCUAAUUAAAACAAAGCAUUGCGAUGGCCGCUGGUCGGUGUUGACGCAAUGUGAUUUCUGCCCAGUGCUCUGAAUGUCAACGUGAAGAGAUUCAUCAAAGCGCGGGUAAACGGCGGGAGUAACUAUGACUCUCUUGUGUGGCUUUCAAAGUAAAUGGAGAACCACUUCGAGUGAUUGAUUGCUCAGGUUCAUGGCGCUAUCUGGGGGUCGAAGUUAACACAUCAGGGGAGAUAUGGUACAAUGGGGUGAAUUUCGACGACCUUAUCGUAAGGCUAGAGAGGGCCCCCCUUAAACCUCAGCAGAAGAUGAACAUUCUAAUCUUCUACCUAAUACCGAGACUAAUCUAUGGCUUGGUUAUGAGUGCCAAGUCAAAGACAUACCUACACCAGAUUGACCGUAGGAUUAGAGCGGCUGUCCGGCUCUUUCUGCAUCUGCCGAAGGACGUUCCAGUUGCCUUCCUAUACGCUGCGGUGGGGGACGGCGGGUUGGGGGUCACCUGUGUCGCGACAAUGAUUCCUCGGAUCAGGCCGUUCCCGGCUACUUGGGGUUCAGGGCGCUGGCGACGG
rnacentral:ncRNA from 1 species